rfam:Bacillus sporothermodurans strain B4102 NODE_37, whole genome shotgun sequence.
AUAAAAAACCCUGCAAAAAAUCUGCAGGGUCCUUCUAUAUCCUAUGUAAAAGGACAGAAGGCAAAGGGAGAGGAGAAACCGGAGGAAGAACUUAUGGGGAAACGUAAGUCUUCUCCGCGG